UACGGAGGGUGCGAGCGUUGUCCGGAAUCACUGGGCGUAAAGGGCGCGUAGGCGGCGCGGCAAGCGUGCGGUGAAAGCCCGGGGCUCAACCCCGGGUCGGCCGUGCGAACUGCCGGGCUCGAGCACUGUAGAGGCGGGUGGAAUUCCGGGUGUAGCGGUGGAAUGCGUAGAUAUCGUAAGGAAGACCAGUGGCGAAGGCGGGUCUCUGGACAGUUCCUGACGCUGAGGCACGAAGGUCAGGGGAGCAAACGGG
rnacentral:rRNA from 1 species